rnacentral:rRNA from 1 species
GACGAACGCUGGCGGCGUGCUUAACACAUGCAAGUCGAACGGAAAGGCCCUGCUUUUGUGGGGUGCUCGAGUGGCGAACGGGUGAGUAACACAUGAGUAACCUGCCCUUGACUUUGGGAUAACUUCAGGAAACUGGGGCUAAUACCGGAUAGGAGCUCCUGCUGCAUGGUGGGGGUUGGAAAGUUUCGGCGGUUGGGGAUGGACUCGCGGCUUAUCAGCUUGUUGGUGAGGUAGUGGCUUACCAAGGCUUUGACGGGUAGCCGGCCUGAGAGGGUGACCGGCCACAUUGGGACUGAGAUACGGCCCAGACUCCUACGGGAGGCAGCAGUGGGGAAUAUUGCACAAUGGGCGGAAGCCUGAUGCAGCAACGCCGCGUGCGGGAUGACGGCCUUCGGGUUGUAAACCGCUUUCGCCUGUGACGAAGCGUGAGUGACGGUAAUGGGUAAAGAAGCACCGGCUAACUACGUG